CCGAAAACUAUAUAGACGAAUCUGAUAAGGAAUCAGUUCUAGCAUCGCCUCUUCUAAAUGAAAAGUUCAACUGCCUGCCACCUGCACUGAUCAUCCUUGCUGAAUUUGAUGUUCUCAAAGAUGCAGGCGUUGCAUACCAUAACAAAUUGAAGAAAGCGGGUAUCCCGUCUCAGACGCACUGUGUUAGAGGGGUAACUCAUGGUUUUUUCCAUCUCCCAGGUCACUUCAAGGAAUGCUGCAAGAGAGCCCAUGAAAAGGUUUACAAGUUCAUCAAAGCCAGCUCAUGAUCUGACAAGCAAGCAUACGUCGCCUUGGUUACCGAGAGAUUCUGUGCCAUGGAAUGAAAUUGUGUUCACGAUUCUCUAGCUUACUUUAACAGUGUUUAUAUAAAUGUUAAUUGUGUAUUAAUUUUGCUAGUCAACAUAGGAAGAUUUUAAAAAAUAUCAAUUUUGUACCAUGUAGUCUAAAAGUCCCUUUGUUAAACAUUUCUGAUGCUUGGUAUUUAUCUGAGGACAAAGUUGUAUCAAUAUGACAAAAAGCUUCAGGAAAGAGUGAUUUUAAAACAUUUCAGUAAAUUGUUUUUAAACCUGAUAUGAAAAAAGAUGCUUGUUUUUCCUCUGGUGGCAAUCACGUUGAAUUCUCAGACAUAUAGUAUGUCUUACAUAACAUAGUAUGUUUGAAUUCAAGAAUUAAAUAAGAUAUUUUAGAUUCAAAAUAUGGAUGCAUCAAUACAGUCCGUUAUCUAAAUAACACAUUAGACUAAAUUUGAACAUCAGUGUUUUCUCUCUGAUUGAAUGGAAAUUAAAUUGUUGUAUUAUGUUGUUAGAUCAGGUUGAUCAUUUUAAAAGUCCAUAACAUUUUCAAUUUUUGACAUAUGAAAAUUUUAUAAUUAUGAUGAAAUUCAGUAUCAAUGCAAAUUCUACAUGAAAAUUUCUAUAUGAAAACUUUAUAUAUGAGUACAUAAUUGGUUUGUUGGAUUAUUUGUAGGUGCCUUUACAAGUAGGAUAAGGGGUAUAUUAUUUAUUUAGCAGAUUGUGGGGGAACAACUAAUUCAAACUGCUGCAUUUGUUACGGAUUUCUUAAUGAAUUGUGUUUUUAAUGAUUUAAAAAAUAAUGACCAAGAAUUUUACAAAAUACAUAACAUUUUGUGGAACAUUUAUACAGAUAUACAGAUUCCAGAGCAUAAUAUAAGAUUUUCUGAGAGAAAAAAUGUGUCUUUGGAGUUAUAUACAACAAGGGAGGUAAUUCUAUUAAGACAUUUAUACUCAAAUAAAAAAAAUGUACAUAUAAGAUCAUGCGCUAAAUAUAAUUGUUGAAGAAUGAAAACAAAUCUUCAUUGAUCCACUCAAAAUUAAUAAAUCUUGCAAUAUUUAUGAUAUAUACAUUUGUUGGGCUUUGAAAUACACCCAUAUUAAGUAAUAUAAGUCCCUUUAUUUUCACAAGUGAUAGACUUCUCUGCUUUAAUUCACCAGGAGACUCAUUUGCAUAUUUCAAUCUUUCAAAAAUAUGAAUUUCAUCAAUACUUGUUAUCAUUUGUUAAAUUUAAUUGAAGUUUUUGUAAAUAAAACAUACAGACCUAAUUCUCAGAUUAAAGUACAUAAGAGAAUAAAGUGAUUAAUUUCACAGUUACAAACCAUAACUUUCCCAGAAUAAAUACCAAUUAAAUGAUAAUGGGAGGUACUUUCUUGUAAAACGUGACUUUGGAGUCGAGAAAUAAUCGUUGAACACUUAUGCCAGAAUUUCGAAAUGUUCCAAUAUAUUUGUCAGUUACAGUUUUCCAUUGCUCAAUAUUUGUGCCAUAUUUACUACAAUUUAAAAUUCUCACGUAAUGAAGACUUGAGUCAGUUCUGUGAAUGAAAAAUUACCUGUAAUACGUAUAGUUGUUUGAAUCUACACCCACUGUUACCUUGGUAAUUUUAUAGAUUUGGAGGCCACGUUUAGAUAUUUGAGGCUAUGUAAAUGUUUAAAUAGAUAUUUGAAGGCUAUGUAUAGGUAUAUUAUACUAUAUAUAUAUAGGUAUUUGAAGUCUAUAUAUAGAUCCGGUAUAUAUAAGGCUAAGUAUAGGUAAAAAUAGACAUUUGAAGGCAAUGUGCAUGUAUGUAUAUGUGGAGGCUAGAAGUACAUGUAGGUAUAGAUUUGUAAAGCUACAUGUUAGUCAAUGUUGAUCAAUCUGUUUGUCUGUGGUGUUUUAAAUCGUAAAUAUUCACAUGUCUGCUUAAAAUUGUUUUUACAAUUCAUUGCCAAUUACAAUAAUAUUUUUUGCGCCAAAUAUUGAAAGUUUUAAUUAUUUGAUACAUGCUGCUGCUGUAUUAAUGCUUAACAUGAAAUAUUUACAAAUAUUUUUCAUUCGCGUUAUUAAAUUAACAAACUAUUUUCCUAAUUUGCAGCAGAUGCAAUUUUUACAUUACUGGGUAUACUGUAAUAUAAUAAUUUUUUUAAGGGGUGCUUUUAAUACUGUAAACAGGAAUAUUUUUGCCCUUGCUGUAUUUUUGACACUUUCCCCCUUGACCUGUCAAAUUAAUUUAA